rnacentral:rRNA from 1 species
GACGAACGCUGGCGGCGUGCUUAACACAUGCAAGUCGAACGGAAAGGCCCUGUUCUUGUGGGGUGCUCGUGUGGCGCAAACGUGUGUGUAACGCGUGUAUCCUGCCCUUUACUUUCGGAUAUCUUCAGGGAACUGGGGCUCAUAUCGGAUAGAAGACCCUCCUGCGCAGGGGGGGGUGGGGAGUUUCGGUGGUUGGGGAUGGACUCGCGGCCUAUCAGCUUGUUGGUGGGGUAGUGGCUUACCAAGGCAUUGACGGGUAGCCGGCCUGAGAGGGUGACCGGCCACAUUGGGACUGAGAUACGGCCCAGACUCCUACGGGAGGCAGCAGUGGGGAAUAUUGCACAAUGGGCGGAAGCCUGAUGCAGCGACGCCGCGUGCGGGAUGACGGCCUUCGGGUUGUAAGCCGCUUUCGCCUGGGACGAAGCGUGAGUGACGGUAAGUGGAGAAGAAGCACCGGCUAACUACGUG